CAGGAGAGAGAAGCGAGAAGCCAUCUUGGCAGUAGCAGAGAGAGAGAACUGCAGCAGAAUUUCCUGACCUGGGAUAUUUGUGAAGAGGGGCCAUUUAACAGCGAUGUAAUAUCAGCGAUGCUGGAGGGAAGUGAGUGCAGGUCCCAACUACAGGGAGAGCCCACUUGAGAAGGCUGAGAGGAGGCACAGACAAGGGAGGUGCAAUGAUAGAGUCUAUUCCGGCCCCACACUCACAUCAGCCUUAAUAAAGUGAGAGGACGUCCUGUGUCUUGAACUUACCCAUCGGAAAGCAUAGAUUCAGUGCUUUCCUAUGGGUAAAAUCUCAUGCGCUUUCAUUUCUUGACAUGAAUGUGAAUUAGGUUCGCCCAUCAGCAUCAUGGAGCGAUUCAGCGCAGAGAUCAGUGCUGGAAAGCAGUACGUUUAAAAAAAAAAGAAGUUUUUUUUAACCCUUUAAUCAAUGGGUGUGAUGGGGUAGGGCCUCAGUGGCAGAGGGACACACUAGCGUUAGGAAUACAGUUCUAUUUCCCUACUGCUAUACUGUUUAUAUAAUGCAUAUGCUCAUCGAGUAUACAGUAUAACACUAUUGUGCUGGAUAUUUUAGUUGCGCAGUACAGUUAAAAUGACUUGGCUAUACUGACACCCAGUGGUUCAAAGUGGUGUUAAAAAGGUUAAUUUUUUUUUUUUCAAUUUGACAAUUUUUAUUAAUUUUCGGAUAAUGAAACUGGGGUUGCAGAAAGGAAAAAGGGGGGAGGGGAAAGAAUCAAUAGCAUUCCAGUAAGACAUUUCCCUCAUUCACAGUUGGAUUAAGCAUUUGCGUGUUCCCAAUGAGUCUUGUCGUGCUCUCAUGUGGUGCUUAUCUUGGCUAUUGUUUCUUCCUGUUGUAAAAG